GACGAACGCUGGCGGCGUGCCUAAUACAUGCAAGUAGAACGCUGAAGGAGGAGCUUGCUUCUCUGGAUGAGUUGCGAACGGGUGAGUAACGCGUAGGUAACCUGCCUGGUAGCGGGGGAUAACUAUUGGAAACGAUAGCUAAUACCGCAUAAUAGCAGUUGUUGCAUGACAACUGUUUGAAAGGUGCAAUUGCACCACUACCAGAUGGACCUGCGUUGUAUUAGCUAGUUGGUGGGGUAACGGCUCACCAAGGCGACGAUACAUAGCCGACCUGGGAGGGUGAUCGGCCACACUGGGACUGAGACACGGCCCAGACUCCUACGGGAGGCAGCAGUAGGGAAUCUUCGGCAAUGGACGGAAGUCUGACCGAGCAACGCCGCGUGAGUGAAGAAGGUUUUCGGAUCGUAAAGCUCUGUUGUAAGAGAAGAACGAGUGUGAGAGUGGAAAGUUCACACUGUGACGGUAUCUUACCAGAAAGGGACGGCUAACUACGUG
rnacentral:rRNA from 1 species